AGGGUUUGAUUAUGGCUCAGGAUGAACGCUGACAGAAUGCUUAACACAUGCAAGUCUACUUGAUCCUUCGGGUGAUGGUGGCGGACGGGUGAGUAACGCGUAAAGAACUUGCCCUGCAGUCUGGGACAACAUUUGGAAACGAAUGCUAAUACCGGAUAUUAUGUGAGUUUCGCAUGAAAUUCAUAUGAAAGCUAUAUGCGCUGCAGGAGAGCUUUGCGUCCUAUUAGCUAGUUGGUGAGGUAACGGCUCACCAAGGCGAUGAUAGGUAGCCGGCCUGAGAGGGUGAACGGCCACAAGGGGACUGAGACACGGCCCUU
rnacentral:rRNA from 1 species